GGGGUUGCUUAAUUAAUGACACCCCGUUCUCUCAGCGUGGCGGACUCCGAACCACCCUCCACCCCCCCUCCCCCCACCUGUCUCCUUCUGCUCUGCACAAUCCGAAGAGCCUCACAACCAACUCACGUGCUCCUCUCCAGCAGCCAUUCCCAGGCAGCUCGGGGAGGACGCUCACAUCUACAUUGGGAUUGACCCUGAACUGGAUUUUGGCUCAACAACUAAUUGGCGCUGAAGGCUUUUGAAAACACUUCAAAAAAGAAAAGAAAGAAUUGAAAAAACGAAGUUGGGACUGCUAUUGAAAACAGAAAAAAAUGGGUGUUUGUGUGCAAGAUGCUUAAGUAUUCUCAUUGAUGGGAUGGGGGGGAUAAGGGGGAAAUAAAAGGAUGCUCUCUCGCCCCCUGUUCUUAUAUUGUUUGGUCACAGGGCACUGCAUAUUCAUGUCCCGAGUCUCUCCAUGGAUGCAGGCGACAGUUGUUUGUGGAUUUCCGAGCUCCAUUAUGGAGACUGUGCAUGUUUCUUUGAUGAGGGAGGAAUGGAGCGGUGGCUCUGUGGCACGAACACGGAUGUGUCGAGGGGGGAAAACAGGUUUAUGCAUAAUCCUGACGUGACGCGCCGUCCGCCGUCGCCCAUUUGCGGGGGAAAGAGAAGCAACAAGGGAUAUACAACAACAACGGUCCCUGCUAAACCCAUCCCUCCUCCUCACUGGAAGCGGUCGAUGUCACUCUCCUUCUUUCUCUCGCUCUCUCUCUCUCUCCCUCCGUCCGUCUCUGUCUUUCACCUGGCUAAGUGUUCAAGGACGUUGUGGGUCACAGAGGUUUCCAUAGCAAUAAGGCCCCCAUCGAUCCGGCGGCGCUCCUCAGGAUUGCCUGAGUGGCUCUGCAAAUUAGUCCGCGGGUCAGCGGACGGGGGUGAGGGGGGGGGGGGGCACGUGGACCAAAGCCUCCCAGGAGACCCCGGGCUGAGACCCCGAGGCGUGGGAACUGAUCACAGGACAGUUAAUGACUUUGCAGACCCCCACACCACACACACACACACACACACACACACACACACACACACACACACACACACACACUGCCCACCGGCUGAUAUAUAGGUUGCUGUGGCGGGCGACUGUAAAUACUCUGAGUCCUUGAGAUAAAGUCAAGGAGAGUUUUUUUUCCAUAGAGAGGAUGGGGUGGGUGAACUAUAACCAUGGGUCCUCUUCAUCUCCAGCGAUCAUUUCAGGUUCCAGAAAAAUCAAAGGCUCUCUCUCUCUUUCUAUAUAAAUAUCUCUCUCUCUCUCUCUCUCUCUCUCUCUCUCUCUCUCUCUCUCUCACUCUCUCCCCUUUGGAGCAGUGCUUUUGAUACUGUUUAAAAGCAGGACCACAUUAAAGAGCUUGGGGAAAAAUAAAUCGGCAAAUGGGUAAUUCA
rnacentral:lncRNA from 1 species